rnacentral:rRNA from 1 species
GGCAAAGGAUGUGCGUCCGCCCAGACAACCAGGAUGUUGGCUUAGAAGCAGCCAUCCAUUCAAAGAGUGCGUAACAGCUCACUGGUCGAGUGGACAUGCGCCGACAAUACACGGGGCUAAGCUGGACACCGAAGCGGCGGGAUUUUAAUUCAUUAGAAUCGGUAGGGGAGCUUCCCAUGGGCGGAGAAGCCGGAGGGCGACCGACGGUGGAGCGCAUGGGAGUGAGAAUGCUGGCAUGAGUAGCGAGAGACGAGAGAGUAACUCGUCCGCCGUGAACCCGAGGUUUCCUGGGCAAGGCUAAUCCUCCCAGGGUCAGUCGGGGGCUAAGGCGAGGCCGGGAGGCGUAGCCGACGCGCAGCAGGCAGACAUUCCUGCACCGCGCACGCGGCGCUACGACCGACGGGGCGACGGAUGGGGGUGGCUCGGCGGGGUUCUGGACGUCCCCGUGAUGGAGCGCGGCCCGCGGACCAGGGAAAUCCGGUCCGCACGAGGGCGAGGCUCCGGACGAAGCACUUAAGCGAAGCGAGUGAGCCCGAGGUCCCUAGAAAAACCCCUAGGCAGGCGCGUGCGCGCCCGUACCGCAAACCGACACAGGUGGGUGGGUAGAACAUACCGAGGCGAUCGGGUCAACCAUGGUCAAGGAACUCGGCACAAUGGCCCCGUAACUUCGGGAGAAGGGGUGCCCGCGCGUACGUGAACGGACUUGCUCCGGGAGCGGAGGCGGGCCGCAGUGGAGAGGCCCAAGCGACUGUUUACCAAAAACACAGGACUCUGCAGAAGCCGCAAGGCGACGUAUAGGGUCUGACGCCUGCCCGGUGCCGGAAGGUCACGCGGAGGAGUUAGCGCAUCGCGCGAAGCCCCGAAGCCAAGCCCCGGUAAACGGCGGCCGUAACUAUAACGGUCCUAAGGUAGCGAAAUUCCUUGUCGGGUAAGUUCCGACCUGCACGAAAGGCGCAACGACUUGGGCGCUGUCUCGACCAUGGACCCGGUGAAAUUGCACUGGUCGUGAAGAUGCGACUUACCCGCGGAAGGACGGAAAGACCCCGUGAACCUUCACUGCAGCUUGGCAUUGGCCGCUGGUCCCGCGUGUAGAGGAUAGGCAGGAGGCUAAGAUCCGGAGGCGCCAGCCCCCGGGGAGCCGCCCUUGGAAUACUGCCCUCGCGCGACCGGCGUCCUAACCCGAGGCCGUCAACCGGCUCGGGGACCGUGCCAGGCGGGCAGUUUGACUGGGGCGGUCGCCUCCUAAAGGGUAACGGAGGCGCGCGAAGGUCCGCUCGGGACGGUCGGCAACCGUCCUUUUGAAUGCAAGAGUACAAGCGGGCUUGACUGCGAGGCCCACAAGCCGAGCAGGUGCGAAAGCAGGCUCUAGUGAUCCGGCGGCCCCGAGUGGGUGGGCCGUCGCUCAACGGAUAAAAGGUACUCCGGGGAUAACAGGCUGAUCUUGCCCAAGAGUCCACAUCGACGGCAAGGUUUGGCACCUCGAUGUCGGCUCAUCGCAUCCUGGGGCUGGAGUCGGUCCCAAGGGUUGGGCUGUUCGCCCAUUAAAGCGGUACGCGAGCUGGGUUCAGAACGUCGUGAGACAGUUCGGUCCCUAUCCUCCGUGGGCGCAGGAGAAUCGAUGGAGGCUGCCCCCAGUACGAGAGGACCGGGGUGGACGCACCUCCGGUGAACCGGUUGUCGACCAACGGCACGGCCGGGUAGCCGCGUGCGGCGCGGAUAACCGCUGAAGGCAUCUAAGCGGGAAGCCGUUCCAGGGAUUAGUUCUCCUUCCGGUAAGGGCCCAGGUAGACUACCUGGUCGAUAGACGGCAGGUGCAAGGACGGCGACGUCCUCAGCCGAGCCGCACUAAUCGCCCGAGCUCUUCCGGAA